UAGAUGGCAGUGCAUCUAAGGUUUUCUGGUCCCGAUCUAGUGGAAUUUACAUUCGUCUGAAUCUGAAGUGCGCCAUCGCCAUUGUGAACGAAGCAUGGGUCACUACAAAUCAUCUUCUGAUACGUUGUCCGGUGUUGGAACAAGUCAUUACAUGGAGCUGGAGCGUUAAUUUGGGACUUGAUUUGUCAUCUUUUGGUUGAGGUGGAAAAACACAGAUUGGACCCACUAUUUUAUUCCCACACUUAUCAUUGGAAUUCUGGGAUGGUAGCUGUUGUUGCAGGACACUCUCCUUGGUUCGUUAGUGAGGUUCCAGAAAGCAGCAUUCCAAGAGCAAGAAUACAAUUUGCCGGCCGUCAACAUAAUAUAGAUUGUUUAACUUUGUUUUCUAACCUUGGUGGUGAAAUCAAAUUAUAUUGAGAUUUAAAAGUU